UAUUAGGAGGAGUUCAAUUAC
rnacentral:piRNA from 1 species